GGUGGCUCAGUGGUAGAGUGCUUUCCUUGCAUGCAAGAGGCCCUGGGUUCAAUUCCUCAGCACCA
rnacentral:tRNA from 1 species